UUUUUCCGAAAUGGUCACGUGGUUUUACCUCCACCACGUAAUGUGAUAACCACAUCAAAGAAUGAAAGGACCACAUCAAAUACUGAAACAAGCACAUCAUGUAGUGUAAAAUCGUCAAAUUUUGAAACAUCAUUACGUUAUGUUAAAGCUAUAUAAAGAAUUGGCAAAUCAUCAUUACGAAAUAACAAAACUACAUCAUGUAAUGAAACAAAUACAUUACGUUAAGUCACAUACAAAUCACACUGUGUAUCAUCGCCACCGGAAAUUGGGUACUAAUGAAGCGGAGAGAAAUGGAAAAAAAAAGUAAACAAGGGAAAAAAUAAUAAAAGACUGUUGCUAAGGCUGUUUGGCCUAAACUUAAAUGAGUAGAUGGAGACACAACCAGGAGGGGUAGUGAAAAGGAGUGUAUUCGUCCGAAUUUUCAUUGUUACAGUAGUACAUUUUCAUGAUUACUAUGUAUAAUAUUUCUCAGUAAAUUUUAAUGUGAUAUUGUGCCAAUUAAAAUUAUAUAAUUAAUA